AUGCUUCUCCUAAAGACUAAGCCAUGCAUGCCUAAGAAUAAGAGGAAGCAAUUCUCUCUGAAUCUGCGAACGGCUCCGCAAACCAGUUGUAAACUAUAGCAAGCAAGCCCGGGGCUGGCCUUCACGGGCCGGCUCCGGGUUAUAUGGAUAACCCUGGUAAUUCUGAGGCUAAUACAUGACAGUACAACCUGGCUGACUGGGCUUCGGCCUGGGAUGCCGGGGGACGUGUGAUUGAGGGCUUGGUAACACCGGGAAGGGGCG
rnacentral:rRNA from 1 species